rnacentral:rRNA from 1 species
CCUACGGGAGGCAGCAGUGGGGAAUAUUGCGCAAUGGGGGCAACCCUGACGCAGCAACGCCGCGUGAUUGAAGACGGCCUUCGGGUUGUAAAGAUCUUUAAUCGGGGACGAAUUUUGACGGUACCCGAAGAAUAAGCUCCGGCUAACUACGUGCCAGCAGCCGCGGUAAUACGUAGGGAGCAAGCGUUAUCCGGAUUUACUGGGUGUAAAGGGCGUGUAGGCGGGCAUGCAAGCCAGAAGUGAAAUCUGGGGGCUCAACCCCCGAACUGCAUUUGAAACUGUUGGUCUUGAGUAUCGGAGAGGCAGGCGGAAUUCCUAGUGUAGCGGUGAAAUGCGUAGAUAUUAGGAGGAACACCAGUGGCGAAGGCGGCCUGCUGGACGACAACUGACGGUGAGGCGCGAAAGCGUGGGGAGCAAACAGGAUUAGAUACCCGAGUAGUC